rnacentral:lncRNA from 1 species
UCAAGCAUAUGAAUGCUGUAGACAGUUGAAUAGGAACCAUACGAAUAGGUUUACUCUCCUAGCAGUCAAACUGGAACAGCAUACAAUAAAUCCUUCCCCCAAUAAUGAGACAACACUUCACUUUGAGGGUUAAAACAGGAACUCCCUGUACUGUCACAUACAGUCUCUUUUAUUCCCAAUCCACAAACAUAGUACAGCCCACAGGGCGUUACAAAACAGCCAAUCAAUCCAUACAAUACACCCAGACACUCCCACACAAAAUCCUCCCCUCUGGCUGUGAUAUGAUUACUGAACACAAUGGGUAAUCUAAUUAUCACAGCCAGAGAAAUACAGUUUCAUAAAACACAUCACAG